rnacentral:rRNA from 1 species
CUGAAUGGAAGGGCCAUCGCUCAACGGAUAAAAGGUACUCCGGGGAUAACAGGCUGAUACCGCCCAAGAGUUCAUAUCGACGGCGGUGUUUGGCACCUCGAUGUCGGCUCAUCACAUCCUGGGGCUGAAGUAGGUCCCAAGGGUAUGGCUGUUCGCCAUUUAAAGUGGUACGCGAGCUGGGUUUAGAACGUCGUGAGACAGUUCGGUCCCUAUCUGCCGUGGGCGCUGGAGAACUGAGGGGGGCUGCUCCUAGUACGAGAGGACCGGAGUGGACGCAUCACUGGUGUUCGGGUUGUCAUGCCAAUGGCACUGCCCGGUAGCUAAAUGCGGAAGAGAUAAGUGCUGAAAGCAUCUAAGCACGAAACUUGCCCCGAGAUGAGUUCUCCCUGACUCCUUGAGAGUCCUGAAGGAACGUUGAAGACGACGACGUUGAUAGGCCGGGUGUGUAAGCGCAGCGAUGCGUUGAGCUAACCGGUACUAAUGAACCGUGAGGCUUAACCUUACAACGCCGAAG